UCCCUGGUGGCUCAGACGGUAAAGCAUCUGCUUGCAAUGCGGGAGACCUGGGUUCAAUCCCUGGAUCGGGAA
rnacentral:tRNA from 1 species